CUCAGCCAGCACCCAGGCAAUGAAUCUGCCCGCUCCCACUGCCACCUCCAGGAAGUACUCAGCAAUCAGGGCAUAAUCUGCCCUGUUGUUGACCAAGUGACUCCGCAGACCAAGAAACAUGACUUCCUGGACUGCUGAGCCUUUUUAUUUGGCGAUACCAGAGAGGGAGCAGAGAAGGCAAUGGCCCCCCACUCCAGUACUCUUGCCUGGAAAAUCCCAUGGACCGAGGAGCCUGGUUAGCUUUUUCUGCUUCUCAGACAUGCAGCUGGAAAAGGCUACCUCUCACCUGCCUCAAUGCCAGCAACCAAAGGAGACAAGCACUGGUUCUUCUUGAGCUGCUGCUGCUGCACGAUGCGUGCCUUCUUGGGUGCGAUAACGCGACCGCCCUUCCUCGGGCCCCGGUUCCGCGCCGAGGCCGCCGCCGCCGCCGCCUUGCUCUUCGCUGGCUUCUGCGCCUGGAACUUGCGCUGCCCCUGCGCCAUUAUCAGCCACCAAAACUUUCUAUUUAAAGUAAAUAUGGCAAAAUGUUAACAAAAGUUUAAUCAAGAUAUCGUACAUGCAAAUGUCAUGGUUCUGUUCUUCUUCCUUAUGCUUGAAAUUUUCUGGAACAGACAGUUGAAAAAAAUAGCUUGAAAAGAAAACAGAUGAAGACCUAGACCACCCAGCCCCAAGAGGUGGAAUUGGAGUUGCUGUUGGGGUACAGGGGGAGCACCAGAAUGGAAGCCAGUGGAGCCUCCAAGACUGGAGGAGCCACUUGAAGGUAAGAUUCACAUCACCUGGGCCCAAGUGAGCACUGUCAGUGGCGAGCGCCAUGUGCCACAUGCUCAGCCAAUGACCAGAAUUCAGCCAACGUUCGGUGCCUAUGCCAAUCAGCCCCUUUUGCUGCACUCACUGUCCCCAAGGGAGGGCAUCCCCCUAGGAGUUGCCUUUGUGUGGCUUUCAUGGUCCAGCAGGGACAAUGCCCACCCAUGCCUUGGUAUUUUCUUAGCCCAAGAGACCUAUUUAAUGAGAAAGAUCCUAUUUUCGGUGGCUCAGGACACUUAUAAACCCCACUGAGGGGACGAUGGGGAUUUAAAACAUCCUGGCCUCCAGUGCCUGUGCUUGGGUAGAACUGAAUAGAACCAUUUCUCGAUUUCUUCUGGGAUCAGGAGUUGUUAAAAACCCACUCACAUGACAUAAAGAAAUCCCCACACAUUCCUGAAGGAAACUAACCUAUAUUAGCUCAAAAAAAAAAAAAAAAAAACACCUUGUCACUUCUGAGCAAACACCCUCCAGAUCCCAGCAGUCCAAGAAAAUGAUAAAUGGGACCUUGGAAGAAGCAGAAACUGCUGAUGGCACAGCCACUCAGAAGCAGAGAAAGAUUUGACAAACUUCCACACAGAAAUCUAUAUUCCAUAGGUUUCAAGACUCUUUUGCCUCCUACUUUCUCAGUGUCUUUUUGUUUUCUGAAAAUGUGACUAAUUCCAAAAUCAGUUUAUAAUAAUGAUGAUUUCAUCUGUUCUCAAAGUCCCUGUUUCAUAAAUGAGCCAAAAGUUAAGAGGCAUUGUCCGUCCAUAUUUUUAUCCGUCCAUAAUUUAAAACAAACAUUUUAAAUUAGAUGAGAUUGUUAAAUUCGUAAUCUGUUGGAAUAAACCACAUCAUCAUUGUGCUAUUAACA
ensembl:lncRNA